AAAUCGAACGAAGCCUUUUAGGCUUAGUGGUGAACGGGUGAGUAACACGUAUCCAAUCUACCCUUAAGUUGGGGAUAACUAGUCGAAAGAUUAGCUAAUACCGAAUAAUAACAUCAAUAUCGCAUGAGAAGAUGUAGAAAGUCGCUCUUUGUGGCGACGCUUUUGGAUGAGGGUGCGACGUAUCAGAUAGUUGGUGAGGUAAUGGCUCACCAAGUCAAUGACGCGUAGCUGUACUGAGAGGUAGAACAGCCACAAUGGGACUGAGACACGGCCCAUACUCCUACGGGAGGCAGCAGUAGGGAAUUUUUCACAAUGGGCGCAAGCCUUAUGAAGCAAUGCCGCGUGAACGAUGAAGGUCUUAUAGAUUGUAAAGUUCUUUUAUAUGGGAAGAAACGCUAAAAUAGGAAAUGAUUUUAGUUCGACUGUACCAUUUGAAUAAGUAUCGGCUAACUAUGUGCCAGCAGCCGCGGUAAUACAUAGGAUGCAAGCGUUAUCCGGAUUUACUGGGCGUAAAACGAGCGCAGGCGGGUUUGUAAGUUUGGUAUUAAAUCUAGAUGCUUAACGUCUAGCUGUAUCAAAAACUGUAAACCUAGAGUGUAGUAGGGAGUUGGGGAACUCCAUGUGGAGCGGUAAAAUGCGUAGAUAUAUGGAAGAACACCGGUGGCGAAGGCGCCAACUUGGACUAUCACUGACGCUUAUGCUCGAAA
rnacentral:rRNA from 1 species